UUUGGGCUUCCUACAGCAUGACUGUUGUGUCCCAGUAGCACACACCCAAGACAAACCACUCCAGGAGCAAACAUUCCAGGAUAACCAGUUGGAAGCUGCAUGGUCUUUUAUGACUUAGUCUCAGAUGACAGGCUGUGUCACUUUCUUCUCAGCCAGCUCAAGUCUGCUGAGAUUUCCACGGGUAGGCAACAUAGACCAUUGAUAAAAGGAAAAAAGUUCUAAAAAAUUUGUGGAGGCUAUUUUAUAAAAACCACCAAAACAUGCUGACUGUUGGCAGUACUUGCUGAACUAGGGAGUAUUCUGGAACUAUGUGAGGACAUCUUCAUUGUAAGAAGUUGGAUCAAGACAUCCUAGGUAUUGAUUUUAAUCUUAUUAAAUGAAAUAACCACGUGUCAACCUGGGGGAAAGACUGAGUGAAGACCAUCAUGAUCAUCUCAAAACUCAAAGGAAUUUGCAUCCAGAAUGGCUUAACUUUGAAAAUAGGUACCUGAGCAAAGAAAAGGGUUAAUUCAUUUGGUUGUUAUAGAUUUAGAAGAAAGCUAUGGAUUUAGAAGAAAACUCACUUGACUACCUAAAUAGCUUUAUGUCAUUUCCAGCUCUCAUAUCUCUCUACUUUGGAAGUAGAUUUUGAAACCCAGAUUCUAUUUUGAGGCUUCUCUUGCCAAAGGAAUUGUCAUGACUCUUCUCUUUACUUCACAGGACCCAACUUUCACACCAUUCUAAUCUUUUCUAAUUCAACUUCCUAUGCUUUGUUUUCAUCAAGGCAGUUAAUCAAAUAAUAACCAUAAUCAUAGUAAUAGUAAUAAUUAUGACUAUAAUUAAGUUGUAUUUAAAUACUAAGUGCUUUGCCUGUAUACAUUCAUUUUAUCCUCACAACUAUAGGAGGUAGCAACUAGUGUCAUACUGAGGCAUAGAAAGGUGAAGUAAGUCACCCAAUUUUAAGUGGCAGAGGAAAUUUUCAUGCCCACAUGGUGUGGCUCAAAGCCUGCACACUGGAACACUAUACCAGAUAGCAUGGAUUACUAGGCAGGAUUAAAGAGAAGUGGCAUAAUUGUAUCACAGUUGGUAUACUAAAGGAAAAUUUGGUAAGUAUUGUUUCUAAGACGAAUACUUUGAUUUUGUAUAACAGAACAAUAUAAGUGAAGUAAAUAUUGUUUAGGAAGGAUUUUAAGCUCAUAUUGAUUCAAACUGCCUCACUGGGGACGUGUGCCUUAAAAACCCUCUUACUCCUUUUUCAUCUUAGAGAGAGGUUUCCUUCCCUUUUUUGUGAGACAGUGUCUCACUUUGUCAGUCAGUCUGAGUGCAGUGGCAGUCAUAGCUCACCGUAGCCUCUACCUUCUGAGCUCGAGUGAGCCUCCUGUCUCAGCCUCCUGAGUAGCCACCAGCAUAGCUGGGGCUACAGGGGUGCACCACCGCAUCUUAUUUUUUGGUAGAGAUGGGAUUUCAGCAUUUUGCCCAGCCUGGUCACUUGGAGAGAGGUUUCUAGUCGCAU
rnacentral:lncRNA from 1 species